AGUUCCUGUUAUUUCCGUACCUAAUUUGACGAAAGGAAUGGGAAAUAAAUAUGUGAUAAAGACAUUAAGUUUUUACGUAGGUUGCAAAUAGGUUUAUAAUAAGAUUAAGUAUGUGCCAUCUAGUGAUAAGUGAAUCUAAAUACAUACUUAAGUAUGAUACUUCCUUAUUAACAUUGAAAUUAUCUAAAUAUGGACUUUUAUCAAUAUGUAUAUAAUAAACGUAAAAACAAACUUAAGUGUGGAAUAGCUGAACAACUGUGGAUGAACUAAGAAUGCUACGUACAUGGAAAGCAAUCUACCUAACUGGUUUGGUCAACGCUCUUUGUUGGAAUUUAACAAUUUCAUCAAGAAAUGUCGACAGAUUCUUCUUGACAGACGACUACAUACAGACAGGGAUUUCGGAACGUAGUGCCAAUAAUUUGCUGUCAACGUUUCAAAUGGCGCCAAAAUGGUGCUCUUCAAACUCACAGUUCCACAUAAGAUUAGAAGCUCUUAUACAAAGCGAGAUUAACAAAUUGAAGAUGUGCGCUCACAAUUUAUGGAGUAGGAAACAUCUUAAGGGAUUGGCAUAAUCUGGACAUAUAGUUAUGAAUUGGUCACAGAUAAGAGGAAACCACGUACGGCGUGAAAUUAUACGUAAUUAGGCAUAUUGUGCUUAAUCAUUAUACAUUUAAAUAGUUCAAGCAAGGCAUGUCUAUGGUUUUACGACAAAGUUUAUGUCUGCGAACAAGAAGAUUUAAUAAAAAUUUCAA